UUUUUAAAAAUAAAACAAGUAAUGGAAAAAGCCUUUUACUUUAAACAUCAUAAAUACAUUUAACUUCACAAUAAAGCAAUUUGGAGGGAAGAUAAACUUCAAAAAGAGAGGUUUCAAAAAUAGAAGAAUAUUUCAAUAUUCCGUUCGGUCUACCAAAAAAAGUUCAAAUUUUUCCACUUAAAAAUAUUCACAUUUUCAUCAUCUGUCAUUUCAAUUAAUGAGAUUUUAACCCUUCGUUACUCAAACUUAAUCAAUGCGGAUGAAGUGAAUGAUAGACUGAGACCUUGCGGCUACCAUGAGAUUCGGGAUUAUUGUGGAACAUUAUGCGAAGACAGAUGCAAUGCAGUUCGCCCUGAGUAUUGAAACUCACAAGUGCAACGAUCAAUGCGAGUGGAAUACGCGACAAACUGAAGCCUUGCGGCCUCUACGAAGUAAGAGAUCCUUGUGGGCCGUUAUGCGAAGAUAGAUGCAACGCAGUUCGGCCUGAAACUUGUAGUGUACUGUAAUGCAGUUACAGCGGGUGUCGUUGCAAGGACGGAUUUGCUAGGAAUCCCUACACGAAUCAAUGCAUUGAACGUGGACAGUGCCCCUUUGAUGGAUGUGCUCGUGGCGAGAUCGCGGGUGCUUGCGGAAAAACCUGUGAAGGAACAUGCUCAAAUCCAACUGAGCCGACCAAAUGUCAAACAAUGCUCUGCUCAAAAAUGGGAAUGUCGUUGUGACCUGCAGGGAGGAUUUGUGAGGAACCAGCGUACCGGACAAUGUGUGCGAAUGGGUGAAUCCUGUAACAUGGAAUAAAGAUGAUUUUUAAUUAUUCUCGACAGCCACAGUGAAAAAAUUGCUGACUCGAUCGACCAAUUGAUCUUGGACUCCUCAUCUUUUUAAGUGACUAAAAAAAAUGAAAUAUUAAAAAAUUUAUUUAUUACCGUUUAACCAACCAUAAUGGAAUAUGGAAGAAUAAAAUUUGAAAAAAUAUUA